rnacentral:lncRNA from 1 species
GCCCUCUACUUUAUGAGAGAUUUAAGUUGAAUUCGAGUAUCAAUUGGUCUAGGAUGAGAGGGUAGAUGUUUUCCUAAAGCGGACAGUACAUAUAAUAUAGCAAUUUGGACAUAGAGAUCGAAUCGUUACGAAAAAGCACAACUUUUUUAUAACAACCUAGCUUUUAAGUCGAUAUGUCAUAUGUAUUAUCCUCUUUAGGAGCUCAUCUGUCCUCUUACCCUUGAUAAAUUUCUAUCGCAUUGCGUAGGAUUUGAACCCAAGACCUUUACUUUAUGAGAGAUUUAAGUUGAAUCCUAAUACCAACUGGUAAUUAGUACUAUGCCCUUUCAAAGCGGACAUUAUGUAUGAUAUAACGGUUUGGGCAUUGAGGUUGGGUAGUUACAAAAAAAUACGCUUUUAUUUGUAACCAUCCAACUUCUAUUCCCAUUGCCCAAGCGAUAUGGAAAGUCAUGAGGGAGAGGAAAAAUGCUAACCUAAAGUGGAAGAUACCUAUGAUAAAUCAGUUUGAGCACAGAGCCCGGGUCUUUACAUAUAUUUUAUUUCCUUAGGCCUUUGAUAAAUUUUCUCUCUAUCUCGGCGUUCUUCUCGCACCUUCAUGAUUGGACAAGCACAAUUAUGCAGCUACAGAUCUUCUCAGUUUGACAAUCAACCUUUUUUAUUUCAUAAAACGUGUUCUUAGGAUUUGGGUUAGCUUUUAAUUGAAUGUGGGGGUCUCAAAGUGAUGAUUGUUUCCAUGGAGAGAGG